UGCCUCCGGUGCGCUGUUCCCGACUUUGGGGUGUCAGUGACUACACUGAUGGAAAAAUAAGCCUUAAUGUUGCCUACAGCAAGAUGCAGAUGCAGCAAACUGAUAGUAAAUGAGUGACUACGGAUAAUGAGUUUCUGCUUAGAAACGGAACUGAGAAGGAGUUAGUGCCAUACCAGGAACACCGGUAGUGAGGGUGUAUCACACUUGUAGCUGCAUCUCUGCCAAACAGCCUUAAACAAGCUAUUGAGCUGCAUCAGACUGGCUGUAUGCUGCCUGGCCGCAGGGCUGGGUUACUCUGGUGCAAAGCUGUCACUGGGGUGGCUGUCACUGCACCGAGCUCUGAAGUGCUGGCUCAAAACACCCCAGCAGCCUGCACAGCUGCCCUCCAAGGGAAUGGUGGUUAUUGGAGGUGCUACAGAACUGCUCAGGACUUUAAUUCUCUUCUCAGCUCCCACUGUUCUCAUGGAAAUAAGCAUCAUCCUGUCUGCUCGGCUGCAAGAGCUACCGAGGAAAGGGGCUUUGUUAGCAUAGGGAAGUUCUUGGUCGCAAUUUGCAUCAGGCUUGCGCAUAAUCACAAGCAUUCCUGUUAAUGCUAGUUGAGAAAUGAAUGCUGUUUUAUUCACCUGCGCAAUAAAUGGAUGCCCCGGACAAAUGAGCAAUCGUCUCUGGAAAUCUGCUGCAAUAUCAACUGUCUUUCUGCCAGCACAAAGGGAGCUGGGCAUUUUUCAGCUGAAGAAGAUCCUACAUUAUUAAAGAUAAGCAUUUAUGACAACGUAGCAUAGCCAGUAAGGGUGUUUUUGUCCUCUUCUUGGAGGCUUAAUAAUAACAGCGUGCACUGCUGUGAGCCAAACAUGCACAUGCUUAAAGUGAUUGUGUUAUCUUUGAUGUACUUAAAAGGGCACUGACAAAUUGAAACUGGUUUCUCGGCUUCUAUUAAUAACUCAUAAGUUAAUUUGGCCUUGUUUAUUUUUGUUCAUAAGAAAAAGUUGGGAUUGCCAUGUAAUAGUGUAUAACUGAAAGUCAUUAUUUCCUGACGUGUGAUUCAGCUUCCUGUUACCGUUUCAUUCACAGCAGUUCUGUUUUAUCUGCCUUUAAAGGCUUGAUGUAGGAGGACUGCUGUUGAGUCUGUCCUCAGUUAAGAAGGCUAAUAAAUAUUAUGUCAUUUCGUUAACUGCAUUAUGCCACUGUCAAUAAAAUUCAUAGUCAAGGUC